CAGGGUUCUACCUAGAACAGUUUUAGUGCCGGGUAAAUUACGUGAUAGCAGCUCAUGGCCGGGGGUGUAGGGCCCCCCAGCGGGGGUCAAGGGGGCAAAAGCCCCCUGAACCUAUAGGAGGGUCUCUGCAGGUAUCAAAAGUC